rnacentral:rRNA from 1 species
GUGGGGAAUAUUGGACAAUGGGCGAAAGCCUGAUCCAGCCAUGCCGCGUGUGUGAAGAAGGUCUUCGGAUUGUAAAGCACUUUAAGUUGGGAGGAAGGGCAGUAAGUUAAUACCUUGCUGUUUUGACGUUACCGACAGAAUAAGCACCGGCUAACUUCGUGCCAGCAGCCGCGGUAAUACGAAGGGUGCAAGCGUUAAUCGGAAUUACUGGGCGUAAAGCGCGCGUAGGUGGUUUUGUAAGUUGGAGGUGAAAUCCCCGGGCUCAACCUGGGAACUGCCCCCAAAACUGCAUGACUAGAGUACGGUAGAGGGUAGUGGAAUUUCCUGUGUAGCGGUGAAAUGCGUAGAUAUAGGAAGGAACACCAGUGGCGAAGGCGACUACCUGGACUGAUACUGACACUGAGGUGCGAAAGCGUGGGGAGCAAACAGGAUUAGAAACCCGUGUAGUCC